rnacentral:rRNA from 1 species
ACGGGUGAGUAACGCGUGGGUAACCUGCCUCAUACAGGGGGAUAACAGUUAGAAAUGACUGCUAAUACCGCAUAAGCGCACAGGGCUGCAUGGCCCGGUGUGAAAAACUCCGGUGGUAUGAGAUGGACCCGCGUCUGAUUAGCUGGUUGGAGGGGUAACGGCCCACCAAGGCGACGAUCAGUAGCCGGCCUGAGAGGGUGAACGGCCACAUUGGGACUGAGACACGGCCCAGACUCCUACGGGAGGCAGCAGUGGGGAAUAUUGCACAAUGGGGGAAACCCUGAUGCAGCGACGCCGCGUGAAGGAAGAAGUAUCUCGGUAUGUAAACUUCUAUCAGCAGGGAAGAAAAUGACGGUACCUGACUAAGAAGCCCCGGCUAACUACGUGCCAGCAGCCGCGGUAAUACGUAGGGGGCAAGCGUUAUCCGGAUUUACUGGGUGUAAAGGGAGCGUAGACGGAAGAGCAAGUCUGAUGUGAAAGGCUGGGGCUUAACCCCAGGACUGCAUUGGAAACUGUUUUUCUAGAGUGCCGGAGAGGUAAGCGGAAUUCCUAGUGUAGCGGUGAAAUGCGUAGAUAUUAGGAGGAACACCAGUGGCGAAGGCGGCUUACUGGACGGUAACUGACGUUGAGGCUCGAAAGCGUGGGGAACAAACAGGAUUAGAUACCCUGGUAGUCCACGCCGUAAA